rnacentral:lncRNA from 1 species
GGAGGAAGGAGGUGCAGGAUGAGGCCCAAAUUAGGUGUAGUGGUAACAAUUGAAGGGUUUUAAACCCUAGUAAGAUUCAAAUCCUACAAAGAGGUCAUUUUAAGUAUGUAGAAAAUUCUUACCUAUGGCAUUCACAAUACAAUAUAAUGAGGAAUAUAAUUUAAAUACCUAAUAAAUGUAAAUUUAAAUAUUGAAAAAGUUACAAUUUUAACUAAAUUAUUAGGUGCUAAAGUGGUUAAGUACAGUAC